rnacentral:rRNA from 1 species
GAUGAACGCUGGCGGCGUGCUUAACACAUGCAAGUCGAACGGAAAGGCCCAAGCUUGCUUGGGUGCUCGAGUGGCGAACGGGUGAGUAACACGUGGGUGAUCUGCCCUGCACUUUGGGAUAAGCCUGGGAAACUGGGUCUAAUACCGGAUAGGACCAUCGUUUAGUGUCGGUGGUGGAAAGUUUUUCGGUGUGGGAUGAGCUCGCGGCCUAUCAGCUUGUUGGUGGGGUAAUGGCCUACCAAGGCGUCGACGGGUAGCCGGCCUGAGAGGGUGUACGGCCACAUUGGGACUGAGAUACGGCCCAGACUCCUACGGGAGGCAGCAGUGGGGAAUAUUGCACAAUGGGCGCAAGCCUGAUGCAGUGACGCCGCGUGGGGGAUGACGGCCUUCGGGUUGUAAACUCCUUUCGCCAAGGACGAAGCGUUUUGUGACGGUACUUGGAGAAGAAGCACCGGCUAACUACGUG